CACGUAGGGCGCAAGCGUUGUCCGGAAUUAUUGGGCGUAAAGAGCUCGUAGGCGGUCUGUUGCGUCCGCUGUGAAAUCUCGGGGCUUAACCCCGAGCCUGCAGUGGAUACGGGCAGACUAGAGGUAGGUAGGGGAGAAUGGAAUUCCCGGUGUAGCGGUGAAAUGCGCAGAUAUCAGGAGGAACACCAAUGGCGAAGGCAGCUCGCUGGGACGGUACUGACGCUGAGACGCGAAAGCGUGGGGAGCAAACAGG
rnacentral:rRNA from 1 species